GGCGAGGUAGCUCAGAUGGUUAGAGCGCAGGAUUCAUAACCCUGAGGUCGGGAGUUCAAUUCUCCCUCUCGCUA
rnacentral:tRNA from 7 species